rnacentral:rRNA from 1 species
ACGAACGCUGGCGGUGUGCUUAACACAUGCAAGUCGAACGGAAAGGCCCUGCUUUUGUGGGGUGCUCGAGUGGCGAACGGGUGAGUAACACGUGAGUAACCUGCCCUUGACUUUGGGAUAACUUCAGGAAACUGGGGCUAAUACCGGAUAGGAGCUCCUGCUGCAUGGUGGGGGUUGGAAAGUUUCGGCGGUUGGGGAUGGACUCGCGGCUUAUCAGCUUGUUGGUGGGGUAGUGGCUUACCAAGGCUUUGACGGGUAGCCGGCCUGAGAGGGUGACCGGCCACAUUGGGACUGAGAUACGGCCCAGACUCCUACGGGAGGCAGCAGUGGGGAAUAUUGCACAAUGGGCGGAAGCCUGAUGCAGCAACGCCGCGUGCGGGAUGACGGCCUUCGGGUUGUAAACCGCUUUCUCCUGUGACGAAGCGUGAGUGACAGUAAUGGGUAAAGAAGCACCGGCUAACUACGUG